AGUCCAGGGAAAGGGCCGCUAGGUGUCCGGUGCCUUUGCUGCGAGUUCUCUGACAAAAUUGGAGGCGGCGAAGCGCGUUCCUCGCGGCCCCCUAAAGUUUGGCCAUUUUAAGUGCAUCAUAGUGUCAGUGGAAUACGAUUUGGUUUUCCACGAGACGUAAAAGUAGGAGUUUCAAGAAUAAAAUGAAUUCUCUCCUCCAGCUUCGGUGACUUCGGCAGAGCUAAUUCUACGCACGCUCACUCGCGCCACCACCACUCUUUGCUAGAAAGCUGUGGCCGUCUCUUCGGCAGCUCGCUGCCUCCAUCAACUAACCCGGAGCAGCUUUCC
rnacentral:lncRNA from 1 species